UACAGAGGUCUCAAGCGUUGUUCGGAUUCAUUGGGCGUAAAGGGUGUGUAGGUGGCGCGCUAAGUCGGGUGUGAAAUUUCGGAGCUUAACUCCGAAACUGCAUUCGAUACUGGCGUGCUUGAGGACUGGAGAGGAGACUGGAAUUUACGGUGUAGCAGUGAAAUGCGUAGAUAUCGUAAGGAAGACCAGUGGCGAAGGCGAUCAUCUGGGGUUGUUCUGACACUGAGGAGCGAAAGCUAGGGGAGCAAACGGG
rnacentral:rRNA from 1 species